UUUUUUUUAAAGUGGGUAUUUGGAGGAUUAAAUGAUAUAUAUCAAGGAUAUAUUCUAAUGCCCCCAAAAUAAAAGAAACAUGAAAAAAUGAUAAACUAUUAGUAAUGAUAUUGUCAUUUUUAUUAUUAAUAAAUCAUUUGAAUCCUUGCAUAAAUUUCAUAAUUCAUCCAAAUUUGUUUAUUUUUAUCUACUUAACAUCAUGUGUUUAUCUAUUGCCUUUGCUUCUCUCACUUUCAAAGCUCCACCCUGGUUCUGAGUUUCUGUCUAGCCCUCAGCCUGGGACACUCUUCCACUCUGGCCCUGCUUACUUGGUUCCUAGGGUCCUUAAGCUGAAUUCACGCACUCCGUUCUCCAUCACCAAGAGCAUCCAUCGGUCAAGAUUCUAUUUGUCAUUAACAUCAAGUCCAAAAACUAGGAGGCUGAGGUUCACGGAAAAGACUGUAAGCUCUAGAAUCGGGGCAUCCUGAGUGCUGACUAGCAAGCAUACUACAGAACUCUGAUUUUCAAGACUAUCUGAUAGAUACUCAAGACCCAAAGAAUAGGAAGCAUGCACUAAAACUAAUGCACAAACCAGGAACUGGAGAUUCAGCUAAAUGGUAAGAAGCACCUGACUGCUGGAAUUAGUGUACAAAUUUCAGUGUAUAAACUAAGACAAAGAUUAUUUUAAAUUUACUCCAAGAAUGCUUUCAUGGGUCUAUUUACAUCUCUAUUUCUAGGACAGGCCCUAGGUUUUGACUUAAAUCUAAGCUAACAGUGUUUUCAAACACUUCCACAUACAAGGGAGAACUUGAGACCAGGCAGGGCACAACACCAUAUUGCCUUUUUGCCCCAGUUUCCUUAUCUGUAAAAGAAAAACAAUAUAUCCUCUGCCUGCCUCAAGAUGUGUCACAUCAUACUGGGUUUGCGGAAGGGCUAUAUGAAGUAUAAACACUUGUAGAUUUAUUUUUUACAGCAUUUAUUGCCUUCCAACAAUCUUUACAUUCUGCUUAUACAUUCUGCUGAUUCAUUAGUUUCUCUGCCUUUUUACCAGAUUCUGAGGUCCUGGAGGGGAGGAAUCUGUAUGUGUUUUGCUCACUGGUCUGUCCCCAACAUCUAUCAGUAAAGAAUGUUUAGCAUAUGUUAAGUAAGAAAGUAAUAUUUGCUAAAUGAAAAAAUGUUAAUGUUUAUAAUUCUUAAUUGUAUUGGUUAAGACGCUAUCCAUUUCAGUUGAUAAGGUUGUUUCUAUAGCAACUUUCAAGAGAAAUACCUUUAACUCAUGGACUGGCUAAAAUGGUAAGAAUAUCAGAUCUGAUCUGAGCCUAGAGAUAGAUUUAUUUUUGGACAGGUAAGCCCCAUAGAGUUUUCAAAUUACAUAAAGUAGACAAUAACUUAUCUGCCUAAGAGGCUUGCUGGCCUCAGCUAUAGAAGAAAAUACAGAAUUUCCAGGAUCCAAAUGGUUUCAUCUCUAUUCCUCAAUCCAAUGACAGCAUGUAUACACAAUUUCACUUAACUGAAAUCAUUUUAAACAUGAUUAGAUUCAGCCAAACAAAUGUCUAUAUUGGACCAAUAACAUCAGUUCCCUGAAUCAGCUCUUUCCAGCUGGUCGAUUUGGCUGUACAUGAUUACAGGCUGGAAGGGAUUUGGAUGGGAAAGUAGCCUGUGAUUGUUCCAAUCUCAUUGUUUAGGACUGGGCUUUCAAUUCCCUCCCUUGUGGGUCACAAUCUGUGUUUGAAACAAGUACAAAUAGAUGUUUUUUUCAAAAAGACAAUAAAGCACGUACUUCGUUUAAGGAUUAAUUAAAUGAGCAUAAUGGAGAUCACAUGCAUAAGCACUUCAUCCACCCAUCCAAUAUUAGAGGUGAACACAGAGAUGUAUGGCAAUACAUAGGCUAGAGGUAAUCAAGGAUGGCUUCCAGGAAGAAGUGAUGUCUUUAAAGAUAUAUUAAAUGACAAAGAGUUAACUUGAUGAUGAGAGAGCAGGAAUUUUCUAGCAAAGAGAACAUCAUGUUCUAAGGACCAGAGGUAUCAGGAAGCACAUUACAAAUUCAGGGAAAUAAAAAUAUUCAUCAUGGUUGGGGAGUAGGGUACAUGUCAACUAAGUAGGACCUGACUGCCAUUGAUCAGCACUGCACAGACAUUUUUGGGAGCUUCACAGUUUCAGAGAACAUGACAAACCCUAAAGUGCUAUUUAAAAUAAAAAUAGCUGACAUUUACUGAGGAUGGACUCUGCCCUAACAGAGGUUAAGUCACUUGCCCCAAGGGCACAUAGCCAAGUGAUGCAGCCAGGAUGGAACCCAGUCACUCUGGCUACAGAGAUCAUGUUCCCAUCAAGUACAUCCUAAACGCAGGUGCCCCACAUGUGAAGACUAUGAAGGAUCACAGCUGUAGUGGAAAGGACCUCCCUCUGGGUUAUUCUCACUGUUCAUCUCCUGCAUGGGUGGAAAUGCAAUGUAUUCUCUUCCCCCAGAGGGCAGAGUGCAUUGUCUUCUCUGUGGGCAUGUUGCUGCAUCCAAAGCCCUCCUAGUGACUGAGCAGAUGUCCUGCCAGAUGGUAGCCACUUGGACACAGGCUCUACUGUGGCAGGCGGCCAGGACAGUCGCCUUGUAAUGGUUGUUAAUGUCACUAUCUCUCACAGACUGGACAGCUGGACAGAAUGCCCAAAGAAAAGCAGGUGCUGACCAUAGCGUACAUGGUUUUGCUGCCCAAAGGGAAGAAAAUGACAGUGUUCCUGGGCACAUCCAAGACUGUGCCUUUGGAAUAGUUUUCCUAAUUGCACCAAACAACAGGUUCCAUCAUACCUGGGAAGCAGAAGAAACAUCAAGGGAAAAUGUUAUUAUUCACAAACAUUUCUGAUUACCAACCACCUGGUUACCCAAGCCUUCCUGAUUUAACAUCCUGCCUAUCUACUCAUCUUUAUCCUUCCAAGGUCAACUUAGGUAUGCCUUCCUCUGUGAAGGCUUCCUGACCUUGCCUAAAGUUAACUAAUAAACAGCCCUCUCCUCUGGGUACACAGACUGAUAGGGGAAAAAAAGAUAUGUGAUAAGCUGCAAAUAUAAAGUGAUGUGUAGAAAGUCCUACAUGGCCCAAAGGAGAAAAUGAAAACUCUCAUGGCAGAUUCAUGGAAAGCUUCACUGAGAAAGAAAUACUUGAUAUGUAAGAAUGAAUACUCAAGAAUAAAAUAAGAAUUCAGUAGGCAGACAAGAAUCUGAAGGCAAUCAAAGUAAAGAAUCCUAAGAGUAGAGGUUUACAGCUCGGAGUAGCACUGAGCAACUGAAUAGGACAAGCAUGCAGAAUGCUUUAUGGAAAAUGUCUCAGUUUGCUUUUGCUGCGUAACAAACUGUGAGGCACACAACAAUAAUUGGCAAGACUCUGGUGAUGUCAUCUGGGCUUGCUCACUCAUUUGCAGGACUCUGCUCUUGUCAGCACUUGGCUGAAGCAAUUUAAGUGGGAAAGCUCUGUCCCAUUUGUUCAUCAUCCUUUCCCAGGCCAGCAGGAUAGAUUAGGUGUAUCCUUCUCAUGGAGAUGGCAAAAGUGCAAAAGCAAAUGAGGCAACCAUCCAAGCAGUGGGACAUAGAGUCAAGGAGUAAAGAAGUGAGCCCCAUGCUCAGUGGGAGGGCACUUUACUGCAUGAGUACAGAAAGCAGUAAAACAUUGUAGACACCAACAUACAUGGGAAAUAACCAAGUGAUGAGCCUGGGGAGGCAGGUUUGAACCAGAUCACAGGAUACACUAUGGACUAUCCUAAUAGAAUUUUCAUAUCAUCCCAUCUUGUAGACAAGGGCUACACUGAAGCAUUUUAAAUAAAGAAAUGACAUGAAUAUAUAUGUAUUUGAGGAACUUCCAUCUCUCUACGGAAGAUACUUUGAAUAGUAUUAACAACAGAGACAGAGAGGAGCUGAAAGUCUUAAAGUUAAGGUCUUAUAUAAGGCAGUAGCAGAGGACAUGGUGAUAAGCUGAUUUGGUGAUUUAUAAAAAAUUAGUACAAUAUGUGGUAUUCACAAACUGGUACCAAGGCAAUAGUGAGGGAAAGGAGGAGCUUAAGAGUUCUGUCUCACCUGUCUUGACUAAGGAUGGUCCUAUCCAAGAUAACCAGCAGAAACAAGAGGAAAACAAGUUAUGGGAGGAAAACAGUAGGGCAAUAGGUCAGGCUAGAACAUGAGUAGCCUGUGGGACUUCCUAGGAGGAAAAAGUUUUGUAGUAUUUGAUGUUGAGUAGAAGAGACUUCUAAUAUGGAAGUACAAUUUGAGAAUGAAUGGUACUUACGUGGUAUUGAAUGCUAUCAGCAUGAUGGCAACCGCUCAGAGAAAAGGCAAAAGGAUAGAGUGAAAACAAUAGAGGUUCAGAUUUGUUAUUACGUUAUAUCUUUGGUCACUUUGAAAAUCUGAAGCAAGCCAUGAAUUCUCUCCCAGAAAAUUACCCAGGCACAUAUAAAUCAAACUGUGAAUACAAUUCUAGGCAGCCUAUGGAUUUCAUGAAGUCUAUCUGAAGAUCCUUUAAGGAUUAUAGAAGCCAAAUUACAAAUCCCAAAUUUUAAAUCAUGAACAGGGAGAAAAUCACAAAUGAAAGAAAUGAAUAGGAAGAGAUCUUAUCAGAGAACAGAGAUAAUCUGGGUCAUGAACAAGAGCUCAUUAAGUACUAAAGUUCAAGUCACUGUAAAAAAUUUUGAACAGGCAUUCCCGUCAUGGCGAAGUGGUUAACGAAUCCGACUAGGAACCAUGAGGUUGUGGGUUCGAUCCCUGGCCUUGCUCAGUGGGUUAAGGAUCUGGCAUUGCCAUGAGCUGUGGUGUAGGUUGCAGAUGUGGCUCGGAUCCUGCAUUGCUGUGGCUCUGGCAUAGGCCAGUGGCUACAGCUCUGAUUCAACCCCUAGCCUGGGAACCUCCAUAUGCUGCAGGAAGCGGCCCAAGAAAAGGC
rnacentral:lncRNA from 1 species